rnacentral:rRNA from 1 species
UACAGAGGCCCCAAGCAUUAUCCGGAAUCACUGGGCGUAAAGGGUGUCCAGGCGGCCCUGUUAGUCUCUUGUAAAAUCCGUGGGCUUAACCUACGGUCCGCAAGGGAAACGGCAGGGCUCGAGGGCGCGAGAGAUGUAUGGAACUCAUGGUGGAGGGGUGAAAUCCGUUGAUAUCAUGGGGAACACCAAAGGCGAAGGCAAUACAUUGGCGCGUUCCUGACGCUCACACACGAAAGCCAGGGUAGCGAACGGG